AAGAAAAUCAAUCUCGUUGAGACGAUAAACGAUAAUCUAUAAAUAGCAAUACUAUCAUGACCAGUAAUAAUAUUUUAAGAAUAGAACAUAUAGUAUCUUGAUUGGUUGACAUGCGUAUAACGCCACUGUGAGCACUAGUGUCCUUUUCGUAGUUUUUAUUGAUGGAGGAGCCGAAUGGUCUAGAGAGAACCACCGACCUAUGGCCAG
rnacentral:lncRNA from 1 species